rnacentral:lncRNA from 12 species
UCUGGGUCCACACCCCCCCUUGGUUGUAACGGUGGUGAGCAGACCAUGUUCUGUCAUUAGUAAAAGCUCUUUUUGUGGGAACAGUGGUGUACUUGUGGACAGAAGUUCACGGUGAGUUCUAUUUAUAGCUUCUGAUGACUCAUUAAUAUGUUACCUUAGCAAAGGCUAGCUCCAGAGCCAGGCUUCUAUUACCUCUGAGUCAAAAACAUUCUCACUGGAAUAUUCUGAUGACAUAAAAAGCAAAUUGUCUGUAAAAAGCCCCAAGCAAUUUGCGCGUCAGCCUUUUUAAGUUGGUGUAAUAUUAGCCACACUUACACUCAGUAUUGUAAACUACAGUUGUCAAAGGCACCUGCGUCUCCCAGCGUUUACCAACAUUUAGAUUUUGUGUUAAAGAAAAAAGAAAAAAAGAAUUCACUGGUAAUCUUCUGAGGAGUUAAACCAGAAGUAGAUCUGGAAAAUAUGUUAACCAGUCUUCAAAAGUAUUUCCGUUCCCGGAAGUCUUCACACCCUUUGUGACUAUGCCUUUUGUGACAUUUCCACACAUGUGACCUUCACACUCACCACGUUGAUUCCAACAGACAAGUCGUGGUCAGGGUUUUAUAGAGAUGGUAAGGUAAGACUUUGAAGCUGCUGUACAUCAUCAAUUCAGUCUGAAAAACAAUCUCUGUGGUUAAGCAUGUUAAAUCCCCUUGUGCUUUCACAGCAGCUUGGCUAAAGGUUACUACUAUGAAGGCUCAGAGGGGGAGACCGAGUGCUCUCGCUGAAGCGAAUUCAGAGGAGUUACUCAUCUUGUAUGCAUUUCCGUGGAACCUCAUCAUCAGGUUUUCUUAAGAAUUGGCAGUCUCCAUCCACUAAAACACUGAACACUGAAAAGAAACUGGAGUGCACAGAGUGAGACGUCCAUAAGGUAAGUCUUCCAUUUGUGUUCCCGAAACAUUCUGCCCAGAGUCACCGCAGCUCACCAGUCCCCAGUGUUUGUUUGCCUUCCAAG